GUCUUUUUGAAUUUAAUAUAAAGUCUAACCUGCCCAUUGAAAUAUUUUAAAAGGCUGCGGUAUUUUGACCGUACAAAGGUAGCAUAGUCAUUAGUUUUUUAAUUGGAAACUUGUAUGAAUGGUUGAAUGAAAAAUUAACUUUUUUUUAAAAAAUAUUGAAUUUUACUUUUUAAUUAAAAGGUUAAAAUUAAUUUAAAAGACGAGAAGACCCUAUAGAGUUUUAUAAUUAUUAUUAUUUUAUUUAUAAAGUUUAUUAGAAGUUUAAUAAUAUUCAUUAUUUUGUUGGGGUGAUAAUAAAAUUUGAUUAACUUUUAUUUAUUUUAUACAUUAAUAUAUGAAUAAUUGAUCCAUUAUUAAUGAUUAAAAAAUUAAAUUACCUUAGGGAUAACAGCGUAAUUUUUUUUUAAGUUCUUAUUAAUAAAAAAUUUUGC
rnacentral:rRNA from 1 species